CACGCCGUAAACGUUGGGCACUAGGUGUGGGGUCUAUUCAACGGACUCCGUGCCGUAGCUAACGCAUUAAGUGCCCCGCCUGGGGAGUACGGCCGCAAGGCUAAAACUCAAAGGAAUUGACGGGGGCCCGCACAAGCAGCGGAGCAUGUUGCUUAAUUCGAGGCAACGCGAAGAACCUUACCUGGGUUUGACAUGUAGAGAAAAGCCGUAGAGAUACGGUGUCCUUCGGGGUUCUACACAGGUGG
rnacentral:rRNA from 1 species